rnacentral:lncRNA from 1 species
GGGAUUUUGCCAUGUUGACCACGGUGGUCUUGAACUCCCGACCUCAGAAUUCUCCAAAGCCUGAAGUCAUCCAAAGGCCAAAUAAGAUUGCAUGCCAGGAGUGAUAUCUGAAAGUAGAAAAUAGAACCUUUGGUGUUCCAGUCAAAAUGAAGGGAAGAUGAGAAGGUGUUCAAGAGAUGACAUUGCAUAGUGUCACAGAGAGGACUGAAUUGAGAGUUGGGGGGUCUGGGCUGAGCACCUCUGCCUGGACCCCAGGGGAAGCACA